rnacentral:rRNA from 1 species
GACGAACGCUGGCGGCGUGCUUAACACAUGCAAGUCGAACGGAAAGGCCCUGCUUUUGUGGGGUGCUCGAGUGGCGAACGGGUGAGUAACACGUGAGUAACCUGCCCUUGACUUUGGGAUAACUUCAGGAAACUGGGGCUAAUACCGGAUAGGAGCUCCUGCUGCAUGGUGGGGGUUGGAAAGUUUCGGCGGUUGGGGAUGGACUCGCGGCUUAUCAGCUUGUUGGUGAGGUAGUGGCUUACCAAGGCUUUGACGGGUAGCCGGCCUGAGAGGGUGACCGGCCACAUUGGUACUGAGGUACGGCCCAGACUCCUACGGGAGGCAGCAGUGGGGAAUAUUGCACAAUGGGCGGAAGCCUGAUGCAGCAACGCCGCGUGCGGGAUGACGGCCUUCGGGUUGUAAACCGCUUUCGCCUGUGACGAAGCGUGAGUGACGGUAAUGGGUAAAGAAGCACCGGCUAACUACGUG